rnacentral:rRNA from 1 species
UACAGAGGUCUCAAGCGUUGUUCGGAUUCAUUGGGCGUAAAGGGCGCGUAGGCUGCGGGUAAGUCGGGUGUGAAUCUCAGAGCUCAACUCUGAACUGCACUCGAUACUGCUUUGCUUGAGGACUGGAGAGGAGAUUGGAAUUCACGGUGUAGCAGUGAAAUGCGUAGAUAUCGUGAGGAAGACCAGUGGCGAAGGCGGAUCUCUGGACAGUUCCUGACGCUGAGGCGCGAAGGCCAGGGAGCAAACGGG